rnacentral:sRNA from 1 species
UGACCGCACCACCCCUGUAUAGAGACGGC